rnacentral:tRNA from 1 species
GUUUAAAUAAUUUAAAAUAUAAAAAUAUUAAUUUUGUAAAUUAAAAAUAAAAACUUUUUAAACA